rnacentral:misc_RNA from 1 species
AAGUCGUAACAAGGUAUCCGUAGGUGAACCUGCGGAUGGAUCAUUAGAAGGCUUCUAGGGUUUACCCCCCAGUACCUCCUUUCAACCACCUUUGUGGUGUAGAUAGCCCGGUUGUGUCGGUGGUGGAGAAGAUGCGCGGGUGGGUUGGGUGCGUGUGUGUGUGCACAUUGUGCCGCCCGCAUCCUGCCACCCCUUCUCCUCCUCCCCGCGCACGUAUACAAACCCGUCUAACCUCUUUACCAUUACUACUGAAGUAACCUUGCGGAGGAGCGGCAGGUGUGCACGUCGUGUGCGCCGCGCAGCCCUUCUUCAAGUAAAACAACAAUAAUCUAAUACAACUGCUGGCAACGGAUCACUCGGCUCUC